CACGUAGGGUGCGAGCGUUGUCCGGAAUUAUUGGGCGUAAAGAGCUCGUAGGCGGCUGUGUCGCGUCGGCCGUGAAAACCUGCAGCUUAACUGUGGGCUUGCGGUCGAUACGGGCAUCACUGGAGUUCAGCAGGGGAGACUGGAAUUCCUGGUGUAGCGGUGAAAUGCGCAGAUAUCAGGAGGAACACCGGUGGCGAAGGCGGGUCUCUGGGCCGAUACUGACGCUGAGGAGCGAAAGCGUGGGGAGCGAACAGG
rnacentral:rRNA from 1 species